GACGAACGCUGGCGGCGUGCCUAACACAUGCAAGUCGAACGGAGAUAUGGAAGUAGUUUACUACAGAAAUAUCUUAGUGGCGGACGGGUGAGUAACACGUGGGCAACCUGCCUUAAAGUGGGGGAUAACACCGAGAAAUCGGUGCUAAUACCGCAUAGCAUCAGAUCUUCGCAUGGAGGUUUGAUGAAAGGAGUAAUCCGCUUUAAGAUGGGCCCGCGUCUGAUUAGCUAGUUGGUGGGGUAGAGGCCUACCAAGGCGACGAUCAGUAGCCGAUCUGAGAGGAUGAACGGCCACACUGGAACUGAGACACGGUCCAGACUCCUACGGGAGGCAGCAGUGGGGAAUAUUGCACAAUGGGGGAAACCCUGAUGCAGCAACGCCGCGUGGAGGAAGAAGGUUUUCGGAUUGUAAACUCCUGUCUUUUGGGACGAUAAUGACGGUACCAAAGGAGGAAGCCACGGCUAACUACGUGCCAGCAGCCGCGGUAAUACGUAGGUGGCGAGCGUUGUCCGGAAUUACUGGGCGUAAAGGGCGCGUAGGCGGCCUGAUAAGUCAGAUGUAAAACCCCCAGGCUCAACUUGGGGCAUGCAUUUGAAACUGUCGGGCUCGAGUGUCGGAGAGGAAAGCGGAAUUCCUAGUGUAGCGGUGAAAUGCGUAGAUAUUAGGAGGAACACCAGUGGCGAAGGCGGCUUUCUGGACGAUAACUGACGCUGAGGCGCGAAAGCGUGGGGAGCAAACAGGAUUAGAUACCCUGGUAGUCCACGCUGUAAACGAUGGAUACUAGGUGUGGGAGGUAUCGACCCCUUCCGUGCCGCAGUAAACGCAAUAAGUAUCCCGCCUGGGGAGUACGGCCGCAAGGUUGA
rnacentral:rRNA from 1 species